GUCAAACGAAAUAAGGCAGCAGGGUCAGAAUCACUGGAAAUAAGGUAGAGGCAGGAACACUGAAUCAGAAUACAGGAUCGGAAGGCAAAGGAACGCAGGACCCGGAGGACAUGGCACCGCAGGACCAGGAGGACACAGGAACACCGAACCAGGAGGACAUGGAAACACAUGACCAAGAAGACACGUGAACAUAGGAUCAGGAAACGCAGGACACAGGAUCAAGGAGCGAAGAGUCAGAAUCUCAG